rnacentral:rRNA from 1 species
CCCUUAGAUGUUCUGGGCCGCACGCGCGCUACACUGAUGCAUUCAACGAGCCUAUCCUUGACCGACAGGUCCGGGUAAUCUUUGAAUCUGCAUCGUGACGGGGAUAGAUUAUUGCAAUUAUUAAUCUUCAACGAGGAAUGCCUAGUAGGCGCAAGUCAUCAGCUUGCGUCGAUUACGUCCCUGCCCUUUGUACACACCGCCCGUCGCUCCUACCGAUUGAAUGUUCCGGUGAAUUCUUCGGAGUCUGCGGUAUCAAUGUUUCAUUAUACCAUAGGCGAAGUUGCGUAAACCUUAACAUUUAGAGGAAGGAGAAGUCGUAACA